AUUCCGUGUGGUGGGCAUUUCCAUAGUAUCUCUUUGCAUCUUUCCCAUGUUUCAUACAAUGAUUCGGACUCCAAUUGACGGAAUGAAGAGAUAUCAAUUCUGAGCUU